rnacentral:rRNA from 1 species
GGGGCAAAGCCUGAUCCAGCCAUCCCGCGUGUCUGAAGAAGGCCUUCGGGUUGUAAAGGACUUUUGUCAGGGAAGAAAAGGACAGGGUUAAUACCCCUGUUUGAUGACGGUACCUGAAGAAUAAGCACCGGCUAACUACGUGCCAGCAGCCGCGGUAAUACGUAGGGUGCGAGCGUUAAUCGGAAUUUCUGGGCGUAAAGCGAGCGCAGACGGUUACUUAAGCAGGAUGUGAAAUCCCCGGGCUCAACCUGGGAACUGCGUUCUAAACUGGGUGACUAGAGUGUGUCAGAGGGAGGUAGAAUUCCACGUGUAGCAGUGAAAUGCGUAGAGAUGUGGAGGAAUACCGAUGGCGAAGGCGGCCUCCUGGGAUGACACUGACGUUCAUGCUCGAAAGCGUGGGUAGCAAACAGGAUUAGAUACCCUGGUAGUCCACGCCCUAAACGAUGUCAAUUAGCUGUUGGGCAACUUGAUUGCUUAGUAGCGUAGCUUACGCGUGAAAUUGACCGCCUGG